AUACGUAGGGGGCGAGCGUUGUCCGGAAUGAUUGGGCGUAAAGGGCGCGUAGGCGGCCCGGUAAGUCUGGAGUGAAAGUCCUGUUUUUAAGAUGGGAAUUGCUUUGGAUACUGUCGGGCUUGAGUGCAGGAGAGGUAAGUGGAAUUCCCAGUGUAGCGGUGAAAUGCGUAGAGAUUGGGAGGAACACCAGUGGCGAAGGCGACUUACUGGCCUGUAACUGACGCUGAGGCGCGAAAGUGUGGGGAGCAAACAGGAUUAGAUACCCUGGUAGUCCACACUGUAAACGAUGAAUGCUAGGUGUAGGGGGUAUCGACCCCUUCUGUGCCGCAGUCAACACAAUAAGCAUUCCGCCUGGGGAGUACGGCCGCAAGGUUGAAACUCAAAUGAAUUGACGGGG
rnacentral:rRNA from 1 species